rnacentral:rRNA from 1 species
GGCGGUCUACCAGAACACGUCCGACGGUGAGGGAUGAAAACUGGGGGAGCAAACCGGAUUAGAUACCCGGGUAGUCCCAGCUGUAAACUAUGCAAACUCAGUGAUGCAUUGGCUUGAUGCCAAUGCAGUGCUGCAGGGAAGCCGUUAAGUUUGCCGCCUGGGAAGUACGUACGCAAGUAUGAAACUUAAAGGAAUU